GAAACAUUGCCUGGCUGAGCUGCAGCAGAAACAUCAGAAGAUGGCCUUGUUUCCAGAAUGAAGGAGCUGGAUCCUACUUAGCAGAAAGGGGGAAGUGACAUUUCCAAAGCAAUGGCUAAAGGGAAACUGCUACUCACCACCUACUUGUGCAGCUGGGGCAUUCAGAACCUUGGGACCGGGACUCCCCCACUGUGAUUCAAGACGGACUCGAGGGGAACGCCUCAAGACCUAAGUUUAAGGAGGACCGGGUUAGAGUGCUUCUGGAGGGGCUGGACGUGUUCAAAUGAGCAGGUCCAGAUGCUCUCCACCCCAGGGUGUUGAAGGAGCUAGCAGGGGUUAUUGCAGGGCCCUUGGCACGGCUUUACGAGCGCUCGUGGUGCUCGGGCCAGGUGCCAGAUGAUUGGAAGAUAGCCAAUGUGGUCCCUAUCUUUAAAAAAGGGAGGAGGGAGGACCCAGGCAACAAUAGGCCCAUCAGUCUUACCUCAAUCCUGGGGAAACUCUUUGAGAAGAUCAUCAAGGAGCACAUCUGUGAUAGGCCGGCAUCGGGGAUGAUGCUCAAGGGCAACCAGCACGGUUUCAUUAGGGGCAGGUCAUGUCAGACCAACCUGAUUGUCUUUAACGAUCAGGUCGCAAAAGCAUUGGAUGCAGGUGUUGCCGUGGAUGUAGUCUUUCUGGACUUCAGCAAGGCCUUUGACACUGUCGACCAC